rnacentral:rRNA from 1 species
UCUGGAAACUNUCUGACUUGAGUGCAGAAGGGGGGAGUGGAAUUCCAUGUGUAGCGGUGAAAUGCGUAGAUAUAUGGAGGAACACCAGUGGCGAAAGCGGCUCUCUGGUCUAUCACUGACGCUGAGGCUCGAAAGCGUGGGUAGCGAACAGGAUUAGAUACCCUGGUAGUCCACGCCGUAAACGAUGAGUGCUAGGUGUUAGGCCCUUUCCGGGGCUUAGUGCCGGAGCUAACGCAAUAAGCACUCCGCCUGGGGAGUACGACCGCAAGGUUGAAACUCAAAGGAAUUGACGGGGGCCCGCACAAGCGGUGGAGCAUGUGGUUUAAUUCGAAGCAACGCGAAGAACCUUACCAGGUCUUGACAUCCCGAUGCUAUUCUUAGAGAUAGGAAGUUACUUCGGUACGUCGGAGACAGGUGGUGCAUGGUUGUCGUCAGCUCGUGUCGUGAGAUGUUGGGUUAAGUCCCGCAACGAGCGCAACCCUUAUUGUUAGUUGCCAUCAUUAAGUUGGGCACUCUAGCGAGACUGCCGGUAAUAAACCGGAGGAAGGUGGGGAUGACGUCAAAUCAUCAUGCCCCUUAUGACCUGGGCUACACACGUGCUACAAUGGUCGGUACAACGAGUUGCGAGCCGGUGACGGCAAGCUAAUCUCUGAAAGCCGAUCUCAGUUCGGAUUGGAGGCUGCAACUCGCCUCCAUGAAGUCGGAAUCGCUAGUAAUCGCGGAUCAGCACGCCGCGGUGAAUACGUUCCCGGGCCUUGUACACACCGCCCGUCACACCNCGAGAGUUUGUAACACCCGAAG